AUGAUACCAUUCAAUUUCAAGGCCCAAUUAAGUUAUCCAAAUUAUAAUUAAGAUUAAUUUAUACUAUGUUUCUUGAUAACUCGAGCGAUGUGGAGCAUAAGUUGAAUUAGCCGCCAUAAUAGUGGAUCAGAGAUCGGUGAAAGCAAAUACGGACAUUAAAUUCAUUACAGGACUCCACUACAAGCGCCGCGUCUUCAUAUCUAAGAUUCGCUUUUUAUGGAUUAAAGAACAAUAAAUUAUUAUAGACAUUAUUAUUAAAUAAACGAUUAUGAUUUUAGUAA